rnacentral:rRNA from 2 species
UAAUACGGAGGGAGCUAGCGUUGUUCGGAAUCACUGGGCGUAAAGCGCACGUAGGCGGCUUUGUAAGUUAGAGGUGAAAGCCCGGGGCUCAACUCCGGAACUGCCUUUAAGACUGCAUCGCUUGAAUCUGGGAGAGGUAAGUGGAAUUCCGAGUGUAGAGGUGAAAUUCGUAGAUAUUCGGAAGAACACCAGUGGCGAAGGCGGCUUACUGGACCAGAAUUGACGCUGAGGUGCGAAAGCGUGGGGAGCAAACAGG